ensembl:lncRNA
AAGAAAGUUGAAAACCACCUUCUGAUCCCUGAAAUCUCUGAGUUUUCACACAAAGAACACCUGAACAUGUCAAACUGGUUCCAUAGUAGAACCAUCAUUGUAAAAAUGUCAUAGUAUGGUGUGUUGCUCAAAAAACAUUACGACUCGGCUGUCUAGGAUCGCAGAGGAGCAACACAAAAACAGGACAAACGCUGGUUUCCAGGGGGUUAGGAGGAUAUUUAUUUGAAAGAGGAAGUUUACAACAACACAACAUGUGAGCAGAAAAAUCACAAAGUCUGUCUGUAGUUCAGCUGAAAAUAUUAGUUUUUGUCUUUUUUAUUGACCAAACUUUUCAGGAAGUAGAUGAAGAAUAAUUAAAGCUCUCAUGUAGAAGUCCAACUUAUUUUGGAUCCUUGUGAAGAGUUUAACUUUAGAGUUUGUAAAGCUGUUGAGUUUUUAGAGUCACAUGGAUUGUUUUGACAUUUAAUAACCGAGUCCUGAAAUAAAAUUACAGUUGUGGAUUUCUGUCAUUUAGUCUGGACUAAACAAAUAACAGCAGCAUAAAUCUCAAACGUCAUUAUGAGGAGUCUGGAUUGAGGUUUCUCACUUGAUAAUGAUCAAAACAUGAAAUUUAGGUUGGUUUAAAGGAAUAUUCCACCUUAAAUCUUUGAAUGUUGACCUAAAAGGUUGGUUUCAGGAAGUAUUCCACCUACAAGGUCCUCACGCAUCCACCUUAAAGGAACAUUCCACCAAGAAUCCUUGGACAUGCACCUAAAAUGUUGGUUUAACCGAGUAUUCCAUCCAAAAUCCUCAAAGAGACCUGAGGGGCUGAUUAAAAGGAAUAUUCCACCUAAAACCUCAAAUAUAGACCCGAAAGGGUGGUUUAGAAAAAAUCCUUCAAUGUAGACCAAAAAAGUGAGUUUAAUGGUAUGUUCCACCUAAAAUUCACUACUGUAGACCUUGGAGGUUGGUCUGAUGGUAUAUUCCACCCAACAUCCUUGAACAUUUACCUAAAAGGUUGGUUUAAUGGUAUAUUCCCAGAAGAACCCUUGAACAUUGGUCUGAUGGUAUAUUCCACCCAACAUCCCUGAACAUAAACUUAAAAAGUUCGUUCAAAGGAAUAUUCCACCUAAAAUCCUUCAAUGUAGACCAAAAAAAUCUUGGUGUAAAGGAGCAUUCCACCUUAAAUGUAGACCUAAAGGAUGGUUUGGAGUAAUAUUCUACUCUAAAAUCUUCCAAUGUAGACCUAAAAGGUUUAUCUGAUGGUAUAUUCUACCCAACAUCCUGGAACAUUUACCUAAAAGGUUGGUUUAAUGGUAUAUUCCCAGAAGAACCCUUGAACAUUGGGCUUAAUGGUAUAUUCCACCCAAAAUACUUCUACAUAUACCAAGAAGUCAGUUUAAAGGAAAUGUAGACCUAAAAGGAUUGUUUAAAGGAAUAUUUAAACGAUUAUUUUCAUUAUUUAAUAAUCUGUUAUCAGUCAGAACCCUGGCAAACUUAUUUUCAUCAGUUUUUUUAGUGGAAGUCACAAAUAAAGGAGCUCUUGGUUUUUCCCGGCGUUACUGAGUCCAAAGCUGCUGUUUCAACACAGAACGUUCACAUGGAUCCACAAACCUCUCAGCACUCAAACACCCACAGACAGGAGGCCGGCUGGACCGAGGCUCAGUGGCGUCCUCAGACCCACGAGUCGGGGAGUCACUGAACUUGUUGGUCCGGUUUGAAGGCCUCCGUGUGGUCCAGUAGAAGUCCACGUAGUCGGUGUUGGCUUUGAACCCGCAGCGACUGGCCACCAUCAGGUGGACCGGCUCGUCCUCGUAGGACUCCUCCUGUAGCCUUGAGGGAACCACAGGAACAUUCAGUAGCUGUUGGAGUUCUUCCUGUCAGGCUCGUGGUAGAACGGCUCUGAAGAAUCUUGUACUCGUCUUAUCUGGAACAAUCUAACAGCCUAAACUGUUAACAGCGGUGUAAAGAAGCAAACACACAGGUAUAGAUUAGGACUCAAACUAGAUUUAUUUUAGAAAACAAAUCAACUUAGAGGCAUUUGUUCACACGUGGCUGAAUAGGAGGCCGUCCAAUCAGAUUGGAGGUCUUCACUCUGUAGGUUGUUUGUUUGGUGAGACUCUUGGACCUCCAUCAGCUGACAUGGAUGUUUGAUGGUCUUCCUCUCUAGUGCCAGAUGAUUCAUCCAUGAAUUCA